GCCAGCCUGUAGGGGUGGUUCCCCGGGUGUGCUGCGGGCAGAGGGCUGGGCUCCCCUCUCCGGACACUGCCCGUCGGAGCCGCAGCACCUCGGGGGCCAGGAUGUCGGAAAAACGCGUCGAGGAGGCACCGGCGGAGCUGAGCGCUAAGGAAAGGAAAGACAAGAAGGAAAAAGUCGAAGAGAAA